UUAGUAAGCGGAGGAAAAGAAACUAACAAGGAUUCCCCGAGUAACGGCGAGCGAAAGGGGAGGAGCCCAGCGCAUAAUCCCCCAGUGCUGUAGCGCUGGCGGGAAAUGUUGCGUAUAGGAGGGUCGAUUCUCCCGGGCGUCGCGGCCGGUCCAAGUCCCUCUUGAACGGGGCCACGGUCCUUAGAAGGUGCCAGGCCUGUGGGAUGGUUGCGAUGUUCGGGACGACUUCUCCUUGGAGUCGGGUUGCUUGAGAGUGCAGCCCUAAGCAGGUGGUAAACUCCAUCUAAGGCUAAAUACUACCACGAGACCGAUAGCAAACAAGUACCGUGAGGGAAAGUUGAAAAGAACUUUGAAGAGAGAGUUCAAGAGUACGUGAAACCGUUCAGGGGUAAACGGGUGGAGCCCUAAAGGUCGAACGAGGAGAUUCAGUGUUCCGUCCACUGGCCGCCUGCCGCCGUUGGGUAAACUUUCGCUCCCGGCUUGCCGGUUCUUGCGGAGGGCCCUCGGUGGGGGUUUGCGCGCCGGUGGGGUUGCGCACUUCUCCUCUAGUAGCACGUCGCGACCCGUUGGGUGUCGGUCGAAAGCCCGGGGGCGAGCCCGCGACUCUCUCGAGAGUCUCGGAGUCCCGGUGUCUAGGCCGACUGCUCGACGGUCUUGAAAGCGGAAAAGGCCCGCGUGGCUCUCGUAGCUCGCGCUCGUGCCCUCUGCGAGCGUCCUGUCGCGUGUCGUUGUGCGGACUUGUCCGCCGCGGCCCGACCGGCGUUGUCGGCGGAGGGAUUUCUCGAGCAGUGGCCUGCUCCCGUCCGCGACGGUAACACAGGGCGGCCCACCCGGCCCGUCUUGAAACACGGACCAAGGAGUCUAACAUGUGCGCGAGUCAUUGGGUCCCUCGAAACCCAAAGGCGUAUUGAACGAAAAGGCCGUCCUCCGCGUCGGCUGAGGGAAGAUGGGGGCUCGCUCGCGGGCCCCCCGCAUUCCCGGGGCGUCUCGUGCUACCGCCGCUCGUCGGCGGAAGUUGAGGCGCACCUAGAGCGCACACGUUGGUACCCGAAAGAUGGUGAACUAUGCCUGGCCAGGACGAAGCCAGGGGAAACCCUGGUGGAGGUCCGUAGCGAUUCUGACGUGCAAAUCGAUCGUCAGAGCUGGGUAUAGGGGCGAAAGACUAAUCGAACCAUCUAGUAGCUGGUUCCCUCCGAAGUUUCCCUCAGGAUAGCUGGCGCUCGGAGAUUCGAGUCCCAUCCGGUAAAGCGAAUGAUUAGAGGCCAUGGGGUCGAAACGACCUCAACCUAUUCUCAAACUCUAAAUGGGUGGGAUCUGCGGCUUGUUUGAACGUGAAGCCGCAGUUUCGGAUCGGAGUGCCCAGUGGGCCACUUUUGGUAAGCAGAACUGGCGCUGUGGGAUGAACCAAACGCUGGGUUAAGGCGCCCGAAUGAACGCUCAUGUGAAACCAUGAAAGGUGUUGGUUGCUUAAGACAGCAGGACGGUGGCCAUGGAAGUCGGAAUCCGCUAAGGAGUGUGUAACAACUCACCUGCCGAAGCAACUAGCCCUGAAAAUGGAUGGCGCUGAAGCGUUCUGCCUAUACCCGGCCGCCGGCGGCAGAAGGCGGGCGUCUUCGGACGUUCGCUGCGAAGCCCCGGUGAGUAGGAGGGUCGCGACGGUGAGCGCAGAAGGGUCUGGGCGUGAGCCUGCCUGGAGCCGCCGUCGGUGCAGAUCUUGGUGGUAGUAGCAAAUACUCCAGCGAGGCCCUGGAGGACCGAUGUGGAGAAGGGUUCCGUGUGAACAGCCGUUGCACACGGGUCAGUCGAUCCUAAGCCCUAGGAGAAAUCCGAUGUUGAUGGUCGCGGGAUGUAUUUUGCACCAGUUUGCGCUGAAAGGAGCGGGCUGCCGCAGUCAGUCGACCUUUGCACUCUCUUCGCUUGUAGCCUCAACCCCUUGAACGCCGCGCGGUUCCGAUCGCAAGAUCGGUUCAGCGCGCAAACCUUUGAACGCGGGUGAGAAGAGAGGUGCAUCGUUUGUCGCAAGCGGCGUCGCCUCGUUAGUCGAUGACUCGAUCGUUGUCGCCGUGUGGUCUCCGGACCCCGGCCUUCAGACCCACUUGAACGACGCCAUCUCUUUGAGAUGCCGCACUUGAACGAGGUCUGUUGGUCGGGUGAGUCUUUGCGUGGGAUCCCGGUGAGGCGAGUCGUACUUGUCGCGAGGGCGUCGUCUCGUUCUGGAGUAUGCGCAAUCUUAUCUGGUCGUACUAGAACCCCGUCCGUCGGGCGAAAGGGAAUCCGGUUCCUAUUCCGGAACCCGGUUGCGGAACCGCACUCACGAUCCUCGUAUUGACACGGUAACGUGAAUGAGCCUAGAGAUGCCGCCUGGAGCCCCGGGAAGAGUUUUCUUUUCUGCCUGAGCGUUCGGGUACCAUGGAAUCCUCUCGUAGGGAGAUAUGGUAUGGAACGCGAAGAGCACCGCAGUUGCUGCGGUGUCCGGGGAGUCCCGCCGGCCCUUGAAAAUCUAGGUGAGGGUCACGUGGAGGCGUCGCACCGGCUCGUACCCAUAUCCGCAGCAGGUCUCCAAGGUCAAGAGCCUCUGGUCGAUAGACUAAUG
rnacentral:rRNA from 1 species